rnacentral:lncRNA from 12 species
UUUUACCCCACUCAACACCUGUCAAAGAAAGCAGCCAGGAAAACGUUCUAUCUCCAUAGCUACCCCCUUUAGUGUUUUCCCUCCCCCUCCUCCUCUCUCUUUUUUUUUUACAUCUCCAACAUUGGCCACAAAUCAGGCACAGUUUCUAUUGGGGGGACUUGAAACCGGUCGCUGGUGAUUUUUUUCCCUCUCUCGCGCUGUUCUAGGAAUGCGCUCUGCCUCCCGCCGCGUCGGGAACGGUGGGGGCCUCUUAAAGGGGAACGCACACUCUUCCAGUGUUUACUAGGACCAAGCACUGAUAUGGAAAAGACGCUCACAUUGCCUCGGGCCUUCGUGUAUGACUUUGAGGGUUUGAAAGCUGGAGCAGGAACGUAUGGUGCUCGCUGACUGGUGAUGCUGGACAGAUAGAAUUGGAGCGAGGCGUUAAUACUUACCAUGCUGACAUCCGCUGCCAGACUGGGGGUAAAAGUCAGCAGCUAAAUCUGACAUCAAACACUUAUAGUAUCUUCAGUGAAAUCUGAGAUGCGGUUUUAUCUAUGUGCUGAAUUGUACCAUGAGAUAUCUGUUGGGGAAGAGGCACAUGGCAUAUAGCUAAUUGAAAUCUCACCGUGUAUCACCACUGUAUACUGGUGCUGUACAGAUUUGACUAAAAAAUAAAAUAUAUACACUGGAGCUGUGCGAUAAAUAAAAAAAUGAAAGAAAUUACAUGAGAAAGUAACUCUAUAUAAAUCUCACUGAAUUAUACAUGAAUCUUUGUCUUCGAGCAAUUCAGGCCACACAGAAUAUCCAAGAUUCAGGCAUCGGCAGAAUUAUCCAGUUUAAAGGGGUCAUAUGACGUUGCUAAAAAUAAUAUUAUUUUGUGUAUUUGGUGUAAUACAAUGUGUUUAUGCUGUUUAAUGUUCAAAAAACAUUAUUUUCCACAUAAUGACAAUUAUUGUUACUCCUCUAUGCCCCGCCUUUCUGAAACACGUUGAUUUUUUACAAAGCUCAUCGUUGUGAAAAAGCGAGAUGUGCUCUGAUUGGCCAGCUAUCUAGUGCGUUGUGAUUGGCUGAAUACCUCAAGCAUGUGACAGAAAUGUUCCUCUCCUUAAGAUACUGUGAUGCCGUGUCCCGGCGCAACAAGACAAAACCAAUAAAACCCAUUACAAACUAGGCAUUUGUUGCAUUCAGUGG